GGCCUUAUAGUCAAUAAUGACGUUAGACUGCAAUUCUAAAGGAGUAAAUAUUUACUAAGGCUU
rnacentral:tRNA from 1 species